GCACUCUGCUUUUCUGCUUCACAGAAACUGUCAACUACUAAUGUGAGAGACUAAUGUUCUGAUUAGUUUCUGCUUUUCUGCCAAGAUGUGAAUUUCCCUUUACACCGUGACAGUCAGACAGUAUACUUCUGUCAUUUACGAAGUUACACUGUAUUUAUAUAUUAUAAAUAUUUUUAAUUUUUACAUAAUUUUGUUUUUACAUUAAUAGUCUAAUGGUAAUUUUUAUAAAUCAAAAGAAAAAACGAAGAGGAAUGUAAUUUUAACAAUGAGAUUCUAAUUAUAUAUGUAUUGAGAUGAAUACCUGUACAUGACAACGCUCUUUAUAUCAAAUGUGCGUCAACGUUUGAAAUUAUAUAUUUAUACAUUGCAAGACUUUAUGUACUUGAAUGAGAUUUAUAGAACGAUCUUUUACGAUAUCUCGUAAGAGAACUGAGAAAAAGAGAUGAUAUUAUCGGCACGUAUAUCACAUAAAACCAACAGAGUGUCGUAUCAUUAUCACAAUAUCUUUGUGAUAUGUUUAUUGUUAUUUACAUCAUUUAUUGUAUUGAUCUCGGUGUAUCAUAUUUUUAAGUUCGGCAAUACGCAGAAACAUUCCGAGCACAUUGCUAUAACGCUGAACGAUAUAAAUGCCUUGCCUAUUCAAACGUUACAUGUUGACUCGGGUACAGCAGACGUCACCAAUUCUUCCUGUACAUAUUUCACCUGUUUCAACGUGUAUCGAUGCGGCAGCCAGGGAAACAAACUCCUGGUGUAUGUCUAUCCACUCAAGGUAUAUCUGGAUUCCACAGGUAGACCAAUUACCAAUCAGAUGACGAAAGAAUUCUAUCAAAUUCUGAGUGCCAUUAUCAGCAGCAAAUUUUAUACUCCCAAUCCAUACGAAGCCUGUAUUUUUGUCCCCUCUAUUGACACUCUCAAUCAGAACAGAUUGAGAUUGCAAGAAGUCUCUCAGGCACUGAGAACAUUAUCUUUCUGGAACAAGGGAGAGAAUCACUUGAUCUUUAACAUGGUACCUGGGAGUGUACCGGACUACAACACUGUCAUUGAUGUACCUGUGGGAAAAGCGAUAAUUGCGGGCGCUGGAAUGUCAUCCUUGACAUAUAGACCUAGUUUCGACAUUAGUUUACCAGUCUACAGUCCACUCGUAAACAAUUUGAAAACUAAUCAUAGUAAUAUGAGAAUAUGGCUGGUAAUGUCUUCACAAAUCAACAUUAACACUGCUUUCGAGCAAGAUCUAAUGGAAAUAAAAAUGACGUAUUCGAAAGACAUUUUAGUGCUAGGCCCAUGUCUGCAUUUUAAUCCAAUGAAUAACACUAUUCGUUGCGUAGGAGAGGAUAUAUAUAAAUAUCCUGACAUUCUGCAAACAGCGACAUUUUGUCUAAUAAUCCGUGGUGCUAGACUUGCUCAAAGUGCACUUUUGGAUGCAAUGGCUGCUGGUUGUAUACCUGUGAUUAUAGCUGACUCUUUAAUGAUGCCAUUUCACGAUGUAAUUGAUUGGACCAAGGCUGCUGUUUUUAUACGUGAAGUUGAUAUUUUAUUAACUGUACAACUGCUAAAAAAGAUAUCUCAUCAACGUAUUAUGGAAAUGCAAGAACAGAAUGCAUGGCUGUAUGAUCGUUAUUUUAGUUCGAUGGAGAAAAUUACUGAAACUACAUUAGAAAUACUCUCGGAUCGUGUAUUUCCACAUUUGACACGAGAUUACACAUACUGGAAUGUACCAUCCUAUAAGGGAAAGCCUUCACCACUUUUUCUACCGGUGACUGCUCCUAAAACGCGUGGUUUCACUGCCGUAAUAUUAACGUACGACAGACUAGAGUUACUGUUUUUAUUAAUUAAUAAACUCGUAAAAGUACCAAGUCUGUCCAAAGUUCUGGUGAUUUGGAAUAAUCAACAUAAAGAUCCACCACACUCUACUAGAUGGCCAAAAGUGAGUAAGCCAUUGAAAGUAAUACAAACGAAAGAAAACAAAUUGUCCAACCGAUUUUAUCCGUAUGACGAAAUUGAAACUGAAGCAGUAUUGUCAAUAGAUGAUGACAUUAUCAUGUUGACUGCUGAUGAAGUAGAAUUCGCUUAUGAGGUGUGGAGGGAAUUCCCAGAUAGAAUCGUUGGAUUUCCAUCUCGUUUGCACAUGUGGGAUAAUAGCACUAAUUGUUGGAAGUACGAAAGCGAAUGGACGAACAGUAUUUCUAUGGUUUUAACAGGAGCAGCUUUUCAUCAUAAGGCUACAAAUACCUUAUAAACACCUUUGGAUUUUAUUUUUUCUUGCAAAAAACCAACAUCCUCUCCUGUAUCCUUCUACUAAGAACGUAUAAUCCAAUAUUGGAAUUAUAUGUAUACCACAGCUAUGCCAGGGGACAUAAAGGAAUGGGUCGAUGAGCACAUGAAUUGUGAGGACAUUGCAAUGAAUUUUCUGGUAGCAAAUAUUACUGGAAAAGCUCCGUU